rnacentral:rRNA from 1 species
GACGUAGGGCGCGAGCGUUGUCCGGAUUUAUUGGGCGUAAAGAGCUCGUAGGCGGCUUGUCGCGUCGUCCGUGAAAACCUGCAGCUCAACUGCAGGCUUGCGGUCGAUACGGGCAGGCUAGAGUUCGGUAGGGGAGACUGGAAUUCCUGGUGUAGCGGUGAAAUGCGCAGAUAUCGUAAGGAAGACCAGUGGCGAAGGCGGGUCUCUGGACAGUUCCUGACGCUGAGGCACGAAGGCCAGGGGAGCAAACGGG